UCCGGCUUAUCACCGGCAGUCCCACUAGAGUGCCCAACUAAAUGAUGGCAACUAAAGGCGAGGGUUGCGCUCGUUGCGGGACUUAACCCAACAUCUCACGACACGAGCUGACGACAGCCAUGCAGCACCUGUCUCUGCGUCCCUUGCGGGAAAACCCCUAUUAGAGGGCGGCCGCAGGAUGUCAAACCCUGGUAAGGUUCUGCGCGUUGCGUCGAAUUAAACCACAUGCUCCACCGCUUGUGCGGGCCCCCGUCAAUUCCUUUGAGUUUCAACCUUGCGGUCGUACUCCCCAGGUGGCUCACUUAACGGUUUCCCUUGGACGCACAACCUCUAGGGCCAUACGUCGAGUGAGCAUCGUUUAGGGCGUGGACUAC
rnacentral:misc_RNA from 1 species